AUAGUUCUUUGUGAGAAAGUGUAGCCCUCCCGAUGUAGACGUGGCGUGGGGGUGAGGACGAAGCCGAUGGCGCGAGCCUCGGAUGGACCCGCCUCUAGUGCAGAUCUUGGUUGGCGUAGCAAAGAUCUAACGGAAUAUUUUUUCUUAAAUGCAACGUUGGAUACUGGAGCGGGGAAGGAUUUCGUGCCAACGGCACUCGUACACGGGUUGUUCGGUCACUGAGCACAACGUUACACCGUUUUGUUAGGAAAGUGAAGGUGGUCGGCGCACUCCUCCCUUUUUUGGGGUUUGUGUGUUUUACCGGCUUAUCUGAAAAGGGGCAACAGAGAACC
rnacentral:rRNA from 2 species